rnacentral:misc_RNA from 1 species
GCAACCUCUGGGUUUGGAGCUGGACUUACAUGGGGCUCAGCCAUUGUCAGGUGGCGAUGAUAUUUUUCAUUCAUUCAGGCAUACAGUACUGAGCAAGUCGGACCUUUUCUGUGUGGGUUACUAGUACUAUUUGUGUAGUACCUUGUAAGUUCUUUCAUAAAUAAAUAUAAGUUGACCUAAUAGUGGUCUUGCAACGAAUUGGUAUUGUGGAUCGAAAGUUUGUUAUAGUUCCAGUUAAAAGGCCU